AUUGAACGCUGGCGGCAGGCUUAACACAUGCAAGUCGAGCGGAGAGAGGUAGCUUGCUACUGAUCUUAGCGGCGGACGGGUGAGUAAUGCUUAGGAAUCUGCCUAUUAGUGGGGGACAACAUUUCGAAAGGAAUGCUAAUACCGCAUACGUCCUACGGGAGAAAGCAGGGGCUCUUCGGACCUUGCGCUAAUAGAUGAGCCUAAGUCGGAUUAGCUAGUUGGUGGGGUAAAGACCUACCAAGGCGACGAUCUGUAGCGGGUCUGAGAGGAUGAUCCGCCACACUGGGACUGAGACACGGCCCAGACUCCUACGGGAGGCAGCAGUGGGGAAUAUUGGACAAUGGGCGCAAGCCUGAUCCAGCCAUGCCGCGUGUGUGAAGAAGGCCUUAUGGUUGUAAAGCACUUUAAGCGAGGAGGAGGCUACUUUAGUUAAUACCUAGAGAUAGUGGACGUUACUCGCAGAAUAAGCACCGGCUAACUCUGUGCCAGCCGCCGCCGUAA
rnacentral:rRNA from 1 species